UACCUGCAGCUCGAGUGGUAACCGCUAUUAUUGGGCCUAAAGCGUCCGUAGCCGGUUUGGUAAAUAUCUGGGUAAAUCGUGAGGCUUAACUUCACGAAUUUCGGAUAGACUGCCAGACUUGGGAUCGGGGGAGGUCAGAGGUACUCCAGGGGUAGCGGUGAAAUGUUGUAAUCCUUGGAGGACCACCGGUAGCGAAGGCGUCUGACUAGAACGAGUCCGACGGUGAGGGACGAAGCCCUGGGGCGCAAACCGGAUUAGAUACCCGGGUAGUCCAGGGUGUAAACAAUGUGGGCUUUGUAUUGGAGGUCCCACGUGGGCGUCCAGUGCAGAAGAGAAGUUGUUAAGCCCACCGCCUGGGAAGUACGGUCGCAAGGCUGAAACUUAAAGGAAUUGGCGAGGGAGCACAGCAACGGGAGGAGCGUGCGGUUU
rnacentral:rRNA from 1 species